UUCUUAGAAACACAUGAACAGGGGAAAAUGGAUGAGGGAAAAGGAUGACGUGGGGAGGAAGAAGAGAAGUGGAGGAGCCAGGGAAGAGGAGAGGGGGAGGAGAGUUGGCACUCAGCACUGGCCAGGGUCUGGCCAAGAUGUCCGCCUACACCGCGCCCCGCCCCCCAUCCUGGUGUAGCUCCUCCCCUAAGCUGGGUGGAGACCAGCUCCUGCUUAAGAACCUUCAAAGUCAACAGCUCCAGGCAAAACCGCACAUCCGGGUGGAGGUAGGAGGUGCGGGUGCUGCCUAAAUGGCAGGUCUGUUAGUCUCAGCCCUGAACCACCUCACCUGGCAGCAGGCCCACCAGACAGCACGGCAUAGAGGACUACUGCCCGCCACACCAUCGAAUCUCACAAAAUCCAACCAGGCCAGGGCAGAGGCAGCCAAGGAAGGAGCUGGGUUCCCUGACAUUGGUGUGGGGGCAAAGUGCAUCUCGGGUCUCUCCUUGGCCCAUUCUGUCCCCGGGGCUGUAGCUGCCUGGGUCAUUGGGAGUUGUCACAGCCUCCUGCUCCAACCCUACCAGACACAAGUCCCAGCCACUCAGAGGGAUGCAAGCACAGGUAUGGGGCUCCCCCGCCCCCAUCCCCAGGCUCCCAAUUCCAAGCUAUGGCCUCCAGGCUGCAAGAGCCGGAGAACAAGGUGCCCACGUCGA
rnacentral:lncRNA from 1 species